GACGAACGCUGGCGGCGUGCUUAAUACAUGCAAGUCGAACGCAAAGUCCCUGCUUUUGUGGGAGUCUCGAGUGGCUAACGGGUGAGUAACACGUGUGUAACCUGCCCGUGACUUUCGUAUAACUUCAGGCAACUAGUGCUAAUACCGGAUAGGAGCUCGUUCUGCAUGGUGGAUGUUGGAAAGUUUCGGCGGUUGUGGAUGGACUCGCGGCUUAUCGGUUUCUUGGUGGGGUGGUGGCGUGCGAAGGCUUUGACGGGUUGCCGGCCUGAGAGGGUGACCGGCCACAUUGGGACUGAGGGACGGACCAGACUCCUACGGGCGGCAGCAGUGGAGAAUAUGGCACAGUGGGCGGAAGCCUGAUGCAGCAACGCCGCGUGCGGGAUGACGGGCUUCGGGUUGUAAACCGCUUUCGCCGGUGCCGAAGCGUGAGUGACGGUAAUGAGUAAAGAAGCACCGGCUAACUACGUG
rnacentral:rRNA from 1 species